UUAAAAACAACAAAAAGGGGACCUUCAAUACUCGUCAUGGGCCGAAUUCUUCCCUGGCUCGGCCCAGCUCGGGUCUUCCUCGGCCCAUGUGGCCGCGCGCGCUCACCCACUGGCGUCGUGACCCACGCCGUCAGCCACUCCUCUCCUUUCUCUCAGUGUGCACACCGACGGAUGGGCCAGUCGCUCAGAUCAUCUUCCUCCUAACCACCUGCGCAACAACCGCGCGCCUGCUGUGGGGUCGGGCGCUGGG
rnacentral:lncRNA from 7 species